rnacentral:rRNA from 1 species
CCUACGGGCGGCAGCAGUGGGGAAUAUUGGACAAUGGGGGGAACCCUGAUCCAGCCAUGCCGCGUGUGUGAAGAAGGCCCUCGGGUUGUAAAGCACUUUCAGUGAGGAAGAACGCCUGGUGGUUAAUACCCAUCAGGAAAGACAUCACUCACAGAAGAAGCACCGGCUAACUCCGUGCCAGCAGUCGCGGUAAUACGGAGGGUGCGAGCGUUAAUCGGAAUUACUGGGCGUAAAGCGCGCGUAGGUGGCUUGAUAAGCCGGUUGUGAAAGCCCCGGGCUCAACCUGGGAACGGCAUCCGGAACUGUCAAGCUAGAGUGCAGGAGAGGAAGGUAGAAUUCCCGGUGUAGCGGUGAAAUGCGUAGAGAUCGGGAGGAAUACCAGUGGCGAAGGCGGCCUUCUGGACUGACACUGACACUGAGGUGCGAAAGCGUGGGUAGCAAACAGGAUUAGAUACCCCGGUAGUC